CACGAAGGGGGCGAGCGUUGUUCGGAAUUACUGGGCGUAAAGGGCGCGUAGGCGGCCCCUUUUGUCGCGUGUGAAAGCCCCGGGCUCAACCUGGGAGGUGCGCGCGAAACGGGGGGGCUUGAGUUCGGGAGAGGAGCGUGGAAUUCCCAGUGUAGAGGUGAAAUUCGUAGAUAUUGGGAAGAACACCGGUGGCGAAGGCGGCGCUCUGGACCGAGACUGACGCUGAGGCGCGAAAGCGUGGGGAGCAAACAGG
rnacentral:rRNA from 1 species